GUAGUUCGCUUCAGACAAGUGCGACCCAAUUGACAGUGAGUACCUAGUCACCAUCAGUUGGAGCAACUACCG
rnacentral:tRNA from 1 species